AAGUCGUAACAAGGUCUCCGUUGGUGAACCAGCGGAGGGAUCAUUACCGAGUUUACAACUCCCAAACCCAAUGUGAACGUUACCAAACUGUUGCCUCGGCGGGAUCUCUGCCCCGGGUGCGUCGCAGCCCCGGACCAAGGCGCCCGCCGGAGGACCAACCAAAACUCUUAUUGUAUACCCCCUCGCGGGUUUUUUACUAUCUGAGCCAUCUCGGCGCCCCUCGUGGGCGUUUCGAAAAUGAAUCAAAACUUUCAACAACGGAUCUCUUGGUUCUGGCAUCGAUGAAGAACGCAGCGAAAUGCGAUAAGUAAUGUGAAUUGCAGAAUUCAGUGAAUCAUCGAAUCUUUGAACGCACAUUGCGCCCGCCAGUAUUCUGGCGGGCAUGCCUGUCCGAGCGUCAUUUCAACCCUCGAACCCCUCCGGGGGGUCGGCGUUGGGGAUCGGCCCUUUACGGGGCCGGCCCCGAAAUACAGUGGCGGUCUCGCCGCAGCCUCUCCUGCGCAGUAGUUUGCACACUCGCAUCGGGAGCGCGGCGCGUCCACAGCCGUUAAACACCCCAAACUUCUGAAAUGUUGACCUCGGAUCAGGUAGGAAUACCCGCUGAACUUAA
rnacentral:rRNA from 1 species